rnacentral:lncRNA from 1 species
CGCUGAGGUCAUCUGUGUCAAGCCAGAGAUGAGGACUUGCUGUGGUGCCCAGGCUGGAGUUCAGUGACCAGUCACAGGCGUGAUCAUAGCUCGCUGCAGCCUCAAACUCCUGGCCUCAAGACAUCUUCCUGCCUCAGCCUCCCAAGUGGCUGGGACCACAGAGUGCAACAUGCCUGGCUGGAUCAGUUGUUCUAUAGAAUGUCUGCCAAUUUGAAUUAUUCUGAUACUUUCUCAUAAUUGGAAUGAAGUUAUGGAUUUUUGGCAAGAAUACCACAGAAAUGAUGUUGUGGUGUCCUCAGGGCAUCAUACUAAGGGGUUGAUAAUCUCUGUGUCUUAUUAUUGAUAUUUACUUUGAUUGCUUUGGUUAAGUGGGUGUCUGCCAUGUUUUUUACUAUAAAGUUACCAUUUUUCCCUUUGUAGUUAGUAUGUAUCUUAGGGAAAUAUGUUGAAACUAUGCAAAAUCUAUUCUCAAAC